rnacentral:sRNA from 1 species
AGUCAGUCUAUAUUUAGAGGUCGCAUCAUUAAGCUAUUACGUGACCAGGAAUCUCUUACUUGUCGGAGACUAACGGAGAUAGCCGAGCAUCUGAUUGAACGAGACGAGAGUGCAAUAUUGGUUGGAUCCAUACAAUUUUUGAAAUAUUUCGAAAACCGAUACAUAAUUUGAUGAAAUCAAUUCUAUGUUUUAAAUAUUACACAACAGGAUUCAUUACAGGUUUUCUCGAAAUUCUUGUCGGAAAAGUCCGAGUAUUCACAUUAUAAAAAUGUGCGUAAUUGAAAUACAGAUUAUAAACUACUUGCCAAGCAAAUUUACAUACGAUGAUUUUAAGAUAAAUAAUAAUCGAUAAAAUAAACUCCCGUCAGUACUUCAGUACUUUGAUUAUUAGAAAUACGAGAUCGCACAAAUAGUUGCACAUAUACCUAACAUACCUCGCAGUACCACAAUCCCUUUCUUCUUUUUUAUUUUUUAAUUUUUUUGUAUGGGUGUUGUUUUGUAAUGUAUUUGUUUAAUUUGUAUUGUAAUUUUAUUUUGCAUGUUCUUUAUUUCUUUCCGUGUUUUGUCACAGAUAUGAAUUUCCCUUUGAAAAGUUUUUCCUGAUCACUGUGAUGUGUUAGCGUUAGAGUCCACCGAUGUUUUAACCACUACCUGUCAAAGUAAAAUGUCCCUUUGUUUCCCGUCACGUUAAAGGGGCAUGGUCACGAUUUUCUUCAAAUUCCAUUGUGCUAUUUUUUUAUUUACAAUGCUUUAUGAAUGUAUUUCUAAUGAUCAAGUGAAAUUUGAGAGUCAGUCGUAGAGUUAUGAGCAAGAUACAAGACUCACAACUCUGUGUCAUGUAAACAAGGCUCGUGCCCUGUUUUUUGUUUAACUUGGUUCAAUAUACCAAUAAAAAACUUUUUCAAGCU